GCAGUUCGUUUUUAGGCAUUCACUCAUAUUAGACUACGACCUCCCAGCUGAUACCAAUCUUCAAGCCGCUGACAUAUACAACGAAAUAAAAAAUGAAAUACUUUCUACACUGUUGGACUUCUACAAGACAUAUAUUGCUGGCUUGAUUGAAAUAGUAAUAAAU